GAACGAACGCUGGCGGCAUGCCUAACCCCUGCAAGUCGAACGAGACCUUCGGGUCUCGUGGCGCACGGGUGCGUAACGCGUGGGAACCUGCCCUUAGGUUCGGAAUAACUCCCCGAAAGGGGUGCUAAUACCGGAUAAUGUCUUCGGACCAAAGAUUUAUCGCCUUUGGAUGGGCCCGCGUUGGAUUAGCUAGUUGGUAGGGUAAAAGCCUACCAAGGCGACGAUCCAUAGCUGGUCUGAGAGGAUGAUCAGCCACACUGGGACUGAGACACGGCCCAGACUCCUACGGGAGGCAGCAGUGGGGAAUAUUGGACAAUGGGCGAAAGCCUGAUCCAGCAAUGCCGCGUGAGUGAUGAAGGCCUUAGGGUUGUAAAGCUCUUUUACCCGGGAUGAUAAUGACAGUACCGGGAGAAUAAGCUCCGGCUAACUCCGUG
rnacentral:rRNA from 1 species